rnacentral:rRNA from 1 species
GAUGAACGCUGGCGGCGUGCUUAACACAUGCAAGUCGAACGGAAAGGCUCCUGCUUGCAGGGGCACUCGAGUGGCGAACGGGUGAGUAACACGUGGGUGAUCUGCCCUGCACUUCGGGAUAAGCCUGGGAAACUGGGUCUAAUACCGGAUAGGACCAUCGUUUAGUGUCGGUGGUGGAAAGUUUUUUCGGUGUGGGAUGAGCUCGCGGCCUAUCAGCUUUUUGGUGGGGUAAUGGCCUACCAAGGCGUCGACGGGUAGCCGGCCUGAGAGGGUGUACGGCCACAUUGGGACUGAGAUACGGCCCAGACUCCUACGGGAGGCAGCAGUGGGGAAUAUUGCACAAUGGGAGCAAGCCUGAUGCGGCGACGCCGCGUGGGGGAUGACGGCCUUCGGGUUGUAAACUCCAUUCGCCAGGGACGAAGCGAAAGUGACGGUACCUGGAUAAGAAGCACCGGCUAACUACGUG